ACGGAAGGCAGCAGUGGGGGAUAUUGCACAAUGGGGGAAACCCUGAUGCAGCGACGCCGCGUGAAGGAAGAAGGUCUUCGGAUUGUAAACUUCUGUCGUUGGGGACGAUAAUGACGGUACCCAACAAGAAAGCCACGGCUAACUACGUGCCAGCAGCCGCGGUAAUACGUAGGUGGCAAGCGUUGUCCGGAAUUACUGGGUGUAAAGGGAGCGCAGGCGGGCCGGCAAGUUGGAAGUGAAAUCCAUGGGCUCAACCCAUGAACUGCUUUCAAAACUGUCGGUCUUGAGUAGUGCAGAGGUAGGUGGAAUUCCCAGUGUAGCGGUGGAAUGCGUAGAUAUUGGGAGGAACACCAGUGGCGAAGGCGGCCUACUGGGCACCAACUGACGCUGAGGCUCGAAAGUGUGGGUAGCAAACAGGAUUAGAUACCCUGGUA
rnacentral:rRNA from 1 species